rnacentral:rRNA from 1 species
GAUGAACGCUAGCGGCAGGCCUAAUACAUGCAAGUCGAACGGUGGUAGUGAUACCAUAGUGGCGCACGGGUGCGUAACACGUAUGCAACCUACCUUAUACUUAGGGAUAGCCUUUGGAAACGGAGAUUAAUACCUAAUGGUAUAUUUAGCUGGCAUCGGUUAGAUAUUAAAGAUUUAUUGGUAUAAGAUGGGCAUGCGUCCAAUUAGUUAGUUGGUGAGGUAAUGGCUCACCAAGACGAUGAUUGGUAGGGGAACUGAGAGGUUAAUCCCCCACACUGGCACUGAGAUACGGGCCAGACUCCUACGGGAGGCAGCAGUAGGGAAUAUUGGGCAAUGGAGGGAACUCUGACCCAGCCAUGCCGCGUGCAGGAUGAAGGCGUUAUGCGUUAUAAACUGCUUUUAUAUAGGAAGAAACAGACCUUGUGAGGUAAAUUGACGGUACUAUAUGAAUAAGCACCGGCUAACUCCGUGCCAGCCGCCGCAGUAA